UACGUAGGGGGCAAGCGUUGUCCGGAUUUAUUGGGCGUAAAGAGCGUGUAGGCGGCUUCACAGGUCCGCUGUGAAAACUCGAGGCUCAACCUCGAGCUGUCGGUGGAAACCGUGUGGCUAGAGUCCGGAAGAGGAGAGUGGAAUUCCCGGUGUAGCGGUGAAAUGCGCAGAUAUCGGGAAGAACACCCGUGGCGAAGGCGGCUCUCUGGGGCGGUACUGACGCUGAGACGCGAAAGCGUGGGGAGCGAACAGG
rnacentral:rRNA from 1 species